rnacentral:rRNA from 1 species
AUUAUUGAGGAUUUGAUCCUGGUCCAGGAUGAACGCUGGCGGCGUGGAUAAGGCAUGCAAGUCAAACGGAACAAUUUGCGAUUACAUCAAGAAUUGUUUAGUGGCGAACGAGUCAGUAACACUUUAGUACCUACCCUAGAGACGGGAAUAACUCCGCGAAAGCGGAGCUAAUACCCGAUAGUCCGAGCACAUAAUUUGCACUACGAAAGUUUUUGCGCUUCGCGCAGUACAAGUUAUGUGCUCGGUAAAUCCCGCAAGGGGCUCUGGGAGGGGCUUAAGUCCCAUCAGCUUGUUGGUAGGGUAAUGGCCUACCAAGGCUAUGACGGGUAGGGGGCGUGAGAGCGUGACCCUCGACGACGAGACUGAGAACGGCUCGUACACCUACGGGUGGCAGCAGUCGAGAAUAUUCGACAAUGGGCGAAAGCCUGAUCGAGCGACGCCGCGUGCAGGAAGAAGGGCUUCGGCCUGUAAACUGCUUUUAACUGGGAGGAACGUAAGUGACUGUACCAGUUGAAUAAGGAGUUGCUAACCUCGUGCCAGCAGCCGCGGUAAUACGAGGACUCCAAGCGUUAUCCGGAUUUAUUGGGCGUAAAGGGUCUCCAGGCGGUCCAGUUCGUCUUGUGUUAAAUCUCGCUGCUCAACGGCGGGGCUGCACGAGAUACGGCCGGACUCGAGGGAUGGAGAGGGGAUAGGAACUCACGGUGUAGGGGUGAAAUCCGUUGAUAUCGUGGGGAACACCAAAGGCGAAGGCAAGUCCCUGGCCAUUUCCUGACGCUCAUGAGACGAAAGCGUGGGGAGAGAAUAGGAUUAACUCGCUCAUUUGUGUGCGAUUGAGCUCGCCAAUAUGUUUUUCGACACGUGAAUUUUUUCCAGCGAAAAAAUUCACUAAGGGUCGGACAAGUUUUCGCGCCUUCGGCGCGAACCAUGCAAACUUGUCCUCCCAUUGUCUCAAAACAUAUCGGCUUCGCUUCGCACACAAAUUCGCUCGCCGGAGCAUGAAUGGCGAGCGAGAUGUUGGGUACAUCGAGCAUCUAGUCCCUUCCGGCAGUAAUGCCGGAAUGAAAACUUGUCCCGACGCACUGAUUAGAAAUAGUUAGUGAAGUCGGGAUCCGCCAAAGCCGCAAGGCGACGGCGGAGCUAUAUGCUGGAAAGUCCGAGUAUCCAACAGUACCGAAAGGUAAAAAUCUGUUGGUGCGGAUAAUCAGCAGGUAAUUUGUUGUGUGUUGAGGAGUGGAUGCACAAGGGAGAUGGAUACGGUAUGGUGUAAUCAGCGACAGGAUACCCGGCAAAUGUGGGUCGGAUUCCUCAAGCGUCCGCCCAUCUGGACUUGUGUAUUCACCGGGACGUUGGCAUGUGGUGCUGACGUCCCGUCCAUUCCCCAGCACACAUCAAAAACCUCAACGACUAUACGCCGAGUCGCGCUAACUAUUUGUGUCAAUGUGCCUCACCUAGUGAUGCGCAUUGGCCACUUCAAAUCGAAAGCGGGAAUGAUAUAGUCUGAACUCUGCAGCGAUGCAGAGAGACCGGCAGAAAUGCCCGGCCCACUCAAGAAAACAAAUCGGUGCUAAUUUUUGGAGAAAAGAAAAGGAGCGAAGACCACACGAUGCGAUCUCCGCUCCAUUUGGUAGCGAGAGCUGGCUUUAUCCAUUGUGUUUGUGGAAACUCCCGCGCAGACACAGAUAUAUCCCAGCUAUGAAGAUGCCAAUGCCGAGAGUUAUUGUAAUCAUGAUUACGUUAACUGUCGGCGAAGAGCUGAGCAUUAUGAUGGGUGAGACCGGAAGCAUGAACCAAAUACCUAGAAGAGUCACAAAGACCCCCCCAAUUUGCUGUUUAUUCAUCUCCAUAAAUAUAUGAUUUGUCAAGUUAAAAUCUUAACUCCAAAAAUUAGCACCGAUUAUAGAAAUCUUGAGCAGUCCUCCUUAGCAUAAAGCUUCGGAGGACGCAGUAACAAAAUUGUAGAUACCCUAGUAUUCCACGCCCUAAACGUUGCGCGCUCGCUGUUCCGAGUAUCGACCCUCGGGGUGGCCUAGCUAACGCGUUAAGCGCGCCGCCUGGGAAGUACGGCCGCAAGGCUAAAACUCAAAGGAAUAGACGGGAGUUCGCACAAGCGGUGGACCAUGUGGUUCAAUUCGAUGACAACCGAGGAACCUCACCAGGGCUUGAAAUUCUGAUGACAUUCCGGUGAAAGCUGGAACUUCUACAAGGACAUCAGAACAGGUGAUGCACGGUCCUCGUCAGUUCGUGGCGUGAGCUGUAUGCUUAAGUGCCAUAACGAACGCAACCCCUAUUGUGUGUUAUAUGUGUCACACGAGACUGCCCAGCCCUAGUUCUACUGACCGGCUUCGAAAGAAGUUUGAACGGUUGGUGUGAAUGAAAUUGUUCAAGUUAAAUUUGAACUUUUUCGUAGAACUAGGGCUGGGAGGAAGGUGGGGACGACGUGAGAUCAGCGUGUUCCUUUGAUGCCCUGGGCUACACACGUGGUACAAUGGCGCGUACAAUGGGUUGCCAAGCCGCGAGGCGGAGCUAAUCCCAUCAAAGCGCGUCCCAGUUCGGAUUGGAGUCUGCAACUCGACUCCAUGAAGCCGGAAUCGCUAGUAAGCGCGAAUCAGCUAUGUCGCGCUGAAUACGUUCUCGAACUUUGUACUCACUGCCCGUCACGUCAAGGAAGCCGGAAAUACCCGAAGGCCCCCUCUUUGCGCGGAAGCGCAAAGGGUAAGUUUCAAUAUUGCAAUAUUUAAAUAUUGAAAUAUCGCUCUUUGUUCGUUUGCGAACAAAAAGGGGGUCCACGGUAAGUUCGGUGACAGGGACGAAGUCGUAACAAGGCAUCCCUAGCGGAAGCUGGGGAUGGAACAUCUCCUAU